UGUGUUCCAUGUUCCAGAGCCCAUGACUCCCCCCAGCAUCUUCCCACUGAGCCUCCCACGGUGCCAGUCCAGAGAUCCUGUGGUCCUCGGCUGCCUGAUCAAGGAUUUCUUCCCCCCGGGACCUGUGAGCGUGACCUGGAGCAAGCCUGGGGAACAAGUGAUCAUCAUAAACUUCCCACCUUCCCUGACUGAGGAGGGGAGCCAAUACAUCAUAACCAGCCUGCUGAGCCUGCCAGCCGCCGAGUGCCCAGAGGACGCAAACAUCACAUGCACCGUGCAACAUGCCACAAAUGACCCCAUAGAAGUGGUCGUGCCAUGCUUAGGUCCACCAUGGUGUAAAUGCUGCCGGCCCAGACUGUCACUGCAGGGGCCAGCCCUUAAGGACCUGCUCCUGGGCUCUGAGGCCUACCUCACAUGCACACUGAGCGGCCUGAAGAGCAGCCUGGGGGCCACCUUCACCUGGGAGUCCACAGACGGGAAGACCCCCAUCCAGAAGCGUGCUGAGCAUGACCACUGUGGCUGCUGCAGCGUCUCCAGUGUGCUGCCUGUCUGUGCCGAACUCUGGAACAGUGGGCAGAACUUCACCUGCACGGCCACCCACCCUGACUUAAAAGGCAACAAGACAGAAACCAUCACAAAGCCUAAAGAGAACUUGCAGCCCCAGGUCCAUCUGCUGCCGCCGCCGUCGGAAGAGCUGGCUCUGAACGAGCUGGUGUCACUGACAUGUCUGGUGCGGGGCUUCAGCCCUAAGGACGUGCUGGUGCGCUGGCUGCAUGGGAGCCAAGAGCUGCCCCGCAGCAGCUACCUGGUGUGGUGUACCCUGGAGGAGCCCAACGAGGGUGCUACCACCUAUGCUGUGACCAGUGUGCUGCGGGUGACAGCCGCGGACUGGAAGCAGGGGGACAACUUCUCUUGCACGGUGGGCCACCAGUCCCUGCCCCUGCUCUUCACCCAGAAGACCAUCGACCACCACUCGGGUAAACCCACCCAUGUCAACGUGUCUGUGAUCAUGUCGGAGGCAGAUGGCACUUGCUAUUGAGCCUCCCUGCCCACCCUGCCCUUUCAAUAAACACCAUGCUCACCCA